rnacentral:lncRNA from 1 species
UGAGGAUUGAAUGAGAAAGUGAGAAAGCACGUGCCAGGCUCUAGAUUAGCCGCUGCCUCCCCCUCGCCUCCUUCUCUGGGUCUGUGACGUCUCCCUGCCCCCCGACCCUGCGUUCCUGGUGAACUCUCACUCCACCAGGUCUCAGCUCAGUGUCACCCUCCCAGAGAGCCCUUUGCUGGCUGUUUCAGAUAGAGCUCACAGCUCCCGCCACGGUCUUCUGCCGAGCUGGAAACUCCUUCACAGCAGGAAUCACUACUUUUAAACACCUUUGGAGCCUCAGAGCCUGGCAUCAUUCAAAAAAUAAACAUCAGACUUCAGAUUUUUCCCCAGGCCCUUGAAAAGUCCCUAGGCCUUGGGCUCUGUGUCUGCCCUGCCUCACAGAGGAAAACAUCCUGCCUGAGACCCUUCAGCUGCUGGGCAAUCGUGGCAGACCAGUAUCAGAAACUUCCAAGCAAGGGCAGAAGUCACUGCAAAAGCCAGCAAUGGGAAAGGCCAAUGGAUGCAAGCAGAGUUGUUUUCUCUGUGCCAACAAACCAACUCCAGAAGGACGGAAAUUCAACUGGAGGAGCCACGUGAGACGGGCUCACCCUUCCCGUCUCUGCCUCUCCCGGAGCACUGCUCCCAAGGAAAGUUGUGUGCCCUCACUCUGCUGAGCCAGGUCCUUGCCCAGGGGCACCGUACCUGGCCCAGGAAAUGUGCUCAGGACUUGCUGGCUGCAUUAAUGAAANNNNUAAGUCUCUCAUUUUGCUGAGAAGGAAAGCCAGAGAAGGAAAUGUGAGGACUUCACAACGGGGGUAAUUUGCCCGCGGUCAUCGAGGACGGUAGGGACACCGGGUCUGGGAUUAGAAUCCCCACCCCUGCUUCUUACACUGCUUUACCUGAAGGUUACAGGCUUUCCUACUUGAUGUGAUCUCAGGUCAUUCUCACAACAACCCAUGUGAUUAUCACCGUAUGUCGUCAGAUCUAAGAUCACCAAUGGGACACACCACUAUUUUAUAUAACAAAAAGAAAAUUUUUAAAAAUUUAAAAACCAGCACUGCCAAGCAUCCCUGAGCGACAUCAACUGUAAGCUGCAUC